rnacentral:lncRNA from 1 species
GGGGUGUGUGCGCAUCCUUUUCGGCCUUGGCAGCUGCUCCUUGACCUUCAUCAGCACUUGAGCUUUUGGAGCAUUGAGGGGGGUGUAGCUAUGGAAUCUUCCUGGGAGAGAGCUCCGCCAAACCCUACGGUCUGGGCUCCUCUACCUACGAGCUUGGGGGGAAGUUCGGACAUGCUUUGUCUGGGGGGAGUUCGAGAAUGUGGCUGAGCUUCACUCGAUCCUUUUUCAGCUACGGGCUUGCUGGAGUCACCCGUCUGCCACUCCUUCAUGGCCUCCUCAUCUUUCAUCUUGAAGGCUUCCUCUGCUCGGGCAUAUCCUUCGGCCCGAGCCAGCAAAUCAGCGAAGUUCCUAGGAUACUUCUUUUUCAGAGAGAACAGAAGAUCGUUCUUU